CUCCCUCCCUUCCCCUCUGUCUAAAAAUAAAUAAACAAAAUCUUAAAAAAAAAAAAAGGAAGGAAGAAAUAUAACUUCCAAAAAAAAGUUUCAGAAAACAGACGAUCUGAAUGUCCUUGCCUAUUCACUACCAGGAACAUCCACCCUGUAAUGCUCUAAAUCCCUAAACUAAGCAAGAGGCAGGGACCUCACAGCCCACCAAAGGGUGAAAUUCUUAUGCUAAGGCUGCAAACCUGCUCCAGCCAGCCCAGGAACAAAUAGGAAGGCCACAAGUUAGAAUGGCAUUCAAAAAACUCUUAAUGUUUCCAACAUUACUACUUGUACAUCCUCAAUAUCUUAACUCUUUAUGCCUAUGGCCAAAGCAAACAAACCAAAAACUCUUAAGAUCGACACCUGUUGCAUAUAGCUUCAAACAACUGUUUUUCCUAUCACACAAUUAGUAUUAAAGUCCAAGAGUUCUGCUGAAAUCUGUGGUACAGAAUGAUUUCUGUUAAAAAAGAAGGCCGCAGAGAAGAACAGGCUACAUACACUAUAAAGUCAAUCAGAAUCAUUAUGCUCAUAAACAAGCAUCCCCCAAAAUGGUAUGUUUCCUUCAAAUACCUGCCUGGAUAAUAACUUUGAUCCAAUCAUUAAUAUUAGACAUAAGAAAAUACCUUCCAGCCUUACCUGGCCAUCACUCUUAUCGUCUAAACCAGGAAAAAGCAAACAGGGUGAUGAGUGGUUGGUACCCAUGUUGACUUCUGACUUUUUAAAAUAAUGCCAACACCUGGCUGGUUCCCUGGCAUUUUGUCAAGUUGCUUUCAAUUUUCUACCAGCACCAACUCCAGUGCCUGACCCUAGGAGGUUCUCCUAUAUUUUAAAAAAUGAACGCUUAACUCAUAAUGAUGCCACCACCUACUAAAGUUUUGCAAGGCAAAAGCACAAGUUUGCAAUUGACUUCCUUUGCUGAUAAAAGAACUGUAUUCUGUAACAAAGGAAGAAUACAGGACAUCUCUUUGUGGUUACCUAAAGAUUAUCUACAGAUUGACAGCUAUAGCUACUAAGAAUAGAGAAUGUCAAGAUUAAGGUAAAUUCUCCUAUUUAGGUCUAGCAAUGCUUUUCCCCUAACUUGUCCCCCUGAUUGACCAACUUCCCAAUUCUCUUUCCCCAGCCAACUACUGCUCUGCAGUGCCAGAUACUGCCUUUCUGAGUGAUCAAUAAAAUGAAGCAGCAGCAGCAGCAGCAGCAGACAGAAAAAACUGAAAGGAAAAGAGGCGGUGGGGGUACGCAUACAUAAUAGUAAAAAUAAAGGCUUUUCCCCUUAUCUGUGGAGAACAAAUUUCAUAAAGAAACAAGAAUUAGGGGAGAGAGACAAAGAGAUUCUGAGAUAGGGGGAAAAAUGACUACGAAGUACUAAAAGUAUCCAAAAACCACUAGAAGCCAAAAUCUUGAAAAUGGUUGUAAUCUACCUUUCAAAAAACACUGGCUAUGUUCUUUCUACAAGACAAUAGAAUAUAUUCAGACAGCAUUCUUUAAAAUCCAAACAAAUGGCAUUUCAAUUCACUAAUAUCUCUUUUCAUGUACUGAUAUCUAUACAACACACACCCCUCCGACGCUAUAUAUAUUGUUGAUACCUAAAAAAUUGUUACUGCUUUCCUGACCUUAUAACAAGGGUACUAACAGCUGUCUUAGAGGUUGACUAUCAUAAUCAGACUGAACAAUUUUAAAUUUAUUUAUCCGCAUAAAUUUACUUAUACUCAGCAACACAAGUGAUGGGUUCUGCAUGUAAAACAUACACUAGAUUUCAAAGACUUAUACCAAAUAUGUCAUUAGCAAUUUUUUAUACUGAUUAAGUAUUGAAAUAAUAUCUUUGAUAUAUUAGGUUAAUUUAAUAUGUUAUUAAAAUUAGUUUCACCAGUUUCUUUUUUUAAUGUCACUACCAGAAAACUUAAAAUAAUACACAUGCCUUACAUUUAUGACUUCUGUUACAUUUCAAUUAGACAACAUUAGUCUAGAACACAGUAAGAAAAGAAAGAAACAAUAGCCUGAAAAUUAUACUGAAAUAACAAAACCCCCUAUCCAUCUCAGUGAAGGCUUUUAUCUCCACGCUGCCUUCACCACACCACCAAUCUUUGUCCUUAAUAUAGUGCUUGGCACAUAAUGUGCACUCAAUAAAUAUUUCUUUAGUGUAGUUCAGCAAAGGUAACCAAGACACAAGAUUAAAAUGCAGUAUUGAAAGUAGCUUUGAAA